CCUACGGGUGGCAGCAGUGGGGAAUAUUGCGCAAUGGGCGAAAGCCUGACGCAGCGACGCCGCGUGAGGGAUGAAGGUCUUCGGAUCGUAAACCUCUGUCAGCAGGGAAGAUCGGUCACUGUGCUAAUCAGCAGUGAAUUGACGGUACCGGCAAAGGAAGCACCGGCUAACUCCGUGCCAGCAGCCGCGGUAAUACGGAGGGUGCGAGAGUUAAUCGGAAUUACUGGGCGUAAGGCGCUCGUAGGCGGUAUGUCAAGCCAGAGGUGAAAUCCCCGCGCUUAACGUGGGAACUGCCUUUGAAACUGGCAAACUGGAGUGUGUGAGAGGAUAGUGGAAUUCCAGGUGUAGGAGUGAAAUCCGUAGAUAUCUGAAGGAACAUCAGUGGCGAAGGCGACCAUCUGGAACAUAACUGACGCUGAGGAGCGAAAGCGUGGGUAGCAAACAGGAUUAGAUACCCCUGUAGUC
rnacentral:rRNA from 1 species